CAGCUAGUUGGUGGGGUAAUGGCCUACCAAGGCGACAAUCCGUAGCUGGUCUGAGAGGACGACCAGCCACACCGGAACUGAGACACGGUCCGGACUCCUACGGGAGGCAGCAGUGGGGAAUAUUGGACAAUGGGGGAAACCCUGAUCCAGCGACGCCGCGUGUGUGAAGAAGGCCUGCGGGUUGUAAAGCACUUUUAGUGGGGACAAAAAGCUACGGACUAAUACUCUGUGGUCUUGAUUUAACCCAAAGAAAAAGCACCGGCUAACUCUGUGCCAGCAGCCGCGGUAAUACAGAGGGUGCGAGCGUUAAUCGGAAUUACUGGGCGUAAAGCGCGCGUAGACGGUUUUGUAAGUCAGAUGUGAAAUCCCUGGGCUCAACCUGGGAACUGCAUUUGAAACUGCAUGGCUAGAGUAUGGAAGAGGGAAGUGGAAUUUCCGGUGUAGCGGUGAAAUGCGUAGAUAUCGGAAGGAACACCAGUGGCGAAAGCGACUUCCUGGUCCAAUACUGACGUUCAUGUGCGAAAGCGUGGGGAGCAAACAGGAUUAGAUACCCUGGUAGUCCACGCCAUAAACGAUGACAACUAGAUGUUGGGAGGGUCUGCCUCUCGGUGUCGCAGCUAACGC
rnacentral:rRNA from 1 species